GAUAAACGCUGGCGGCGCACAUAAGACAUGCAAGUCGAACGGACUUAACCAUUAGUUUACUAUUGGAGCGGUUAGUGGCGGACUGGUGAGUAACACGUAAGCAACCUGCCUAUCAGAGGGGAACAACAGUUAGAAAUGGCUGCUAAUACCGCAUAAGACCACAGUACUGCAUGGUACAGUGGUAAAAACUCCGGUGGUAUGAGAUGGACCCGCGUCUGAUUAGGUAGUUGGUGAGGUAACGGCCCACCAAGCCGACGAUCAGUAGCCGACCUGAGAGGGUGACCGGCCACAUUGGGACUGAGACACGGCCCAG
rnacentral:rRNA from 1 species